UUGUGGAAGAGUACUCACUGGACACCCGCAUGCCUCGGCGGAAUACCUCGUACAUGGUCCGUGCGUCACUGUAGUAGUGCGUCAUGUGCUCGUCGUUGUUAUUCAGAAUGGACCGCCUGACGUAACCGUCACCCUGUGAGGAGAGCGAGGUAUCGUUAAGAAGUUCGGUUUUAAGAAUGUUUUGAAAUGCAAAUUGCAUUUCACAUCGAACAGUAUGUGCCACUGAAAUAACUGAUCCACUUAGAACCGGGGUGGACAGGACAGUCUUACCCUGUGAGGGCUGGUGUGUGCGCAGACUUCUGUUCUAGCCAAGCAGCAACACACCUAAUUCAAAUUAUCUUCAAUUAAGAAUUUGGUUAUGAUUAAGCUUGGCAGGAACAAAGGCAUGCAUCCACAUCGGUCCUUGCAGGGGGAAGAUUUAUUGCCCAUCACUCAAAUCAGAGCAGUUUUAAUCAAUCUUGGUCCUGGGGCCCACAGGGUGUGCCGGCUUUUGUUCCAACACAGUAUGAACACACCCGAUUCAAUUAAUCAAGGGCUCGAUCCAUUGAAAUGAAAAUGUUACUGCUGGGCAGGAACAAAAUGCUUGUUCACUGUGUGUAUCCCAAGGACCAUGGUAAAAAAAAAAAAACUGAAAGAAUCAGUUAGUCUGAACAAAGGCAAUAACUGUUUUUACCGUGCUUCUUAACUUCCUGCAUUCAAACCAACCAUGAGUCGCAAGUCUUAGCUAAAAUAGAGAGUAACUAUGUUUGUCAUGCUCUCUGUGUAACCCUUGUGUUAAAAUAUUGCAAGUGGCAUAGCAGCUACACUCAGGAAUCACUUUUAGGUAACUUGCUGAAAUGCCGAACAUCCAAAAGGCACUCCCCAGAUCCUAUUUUGGCCACAAUUGAGACAAUUCAGACUGCCUUGACAGAGACACACACUUGAUUGUCGUGGUUGUGUGCCAUAUUUAUAAUCGCAGUUCGGUCACACGCGCACGUGACCUUUCUUAUGGAUACCUAAAAAGUAUUCUUUGGAGCAAGAGAAUCAGCACAGAUUGCAGGUUAUUUACUUGGCUGCAGACUGGUUUCGUGCAAAACAAUGGGUACGGUAGGACCCAUGUUAGCAUACUCCAAAUAGCAUGGGUUCACGUUUUAGUCAUAUGUAUGGAAAACACAUGUUAUACGUCGCCAAACGAAACACUUACUUGAAAGUUACUUUGACAUGCAACAAUAAUAAAAGAUAAGAAUAGAAAGUAAAUGGCAUAAAGUAUAAUACAGGAAGGCAAAAUUUAUAGUCCAAUAUUUACAUGUGUAUUGGAGAAGGAUGGGGUAAGUAUAUAAAAUUGAGCAUGCUUGAGAAUUCUGCUCCAGCCAUUACCACAAGCCCAUCCUCCCCAAUUAACUGUGCCCUAGACACUGAGCCAAGGCCAGUUUUGUAUUUGGUUAAGGUCUGAAUUGUUGUGUAACAACCUAGAUCUGUUCCUACAGGGAACUUCUACCCAGAGUGAGAUGGGAGGCUGAUACAAUUAUCUUCCAGACAGAGUAAAAAAAACAACAGGGCUACCAUAGACAACGGAGUACCAUAGAGCUCACACAGUGAGACAAUGUAACCUAGCCCACUAAGCCAGGCUAACCAAUGACAGAGGACUGUUGGACUACAGACACAGCUAAGAAAACUGCACUACCCAGGUCUACAGCCCUGUUAGGUCACUCACUCAACUCCUUCAAUGCAAUAGACAGAAAAAAAAAAAAAAAAAAAAAAAAACAGGCAACCCUGUACUUUAAAAACAUACAUUGGUAUGUGUCUUUAUGGGGUAUUUUGUGUAGAUUGUUGAGGAUUUAAAAAUUUAUUUAAUACAUUUUAGAAUAAUGCUGUAAUGAAACAAAAUGUGGAAAAGGGCAAGGGGUCUGAAUAUUUUACGAAGGCACUGUAUAUACACACACAAAAGUAUGUGGACACCCCUUCAAAUUAGUGGAUUUGGCUAGUUCAGCCACACCCGUUUCAGACUGGUGUAUAAUUAUUCUAAUUUUUUUUUUUUUUUAAUUCGAGCACAGUCAUGUAAUAUCCAGUCAAACUUUGGCAGUAGAAGGUUUUACUUUAGAGCUCAUUGACUUUAUUUUAGGCAUAGUUCGACAACAUCCGGUGAAAAUUGGAGGGCGUGCAAUUCAAAUAAUUGUAAUAUUAAAACAUACAAGUAUCUUAUAUCAUUUAAAAGCUUAAAUUCUUGUUAAUCUAACUGCGCUGUCCGAUUUACAAUAGGCUUUACAGCGAAAGCAUACCCUGCGAUUGUCUGAGGACGGCGCCCCACAUCAACAUAUUUUACAACCAGCACAGGCUUCAUGUAUUUAUUUAAAAAAAAAAAAAUUAAAUGUCACAAAUAGCGAUUAAAUAAAUCGCUUACUUUUGAAAAUCUUCCUGUUUGAAAUCCCAAGGGUCGCAGCUACAACAUGAAUGGUUGUUUUGUUAGAUCAAAUCCUUCUUUAUAUCCCAAAAAGUAUGUUUAGUUGCGCCAUCGAUUUCAGUAAUCCACUCGUUCAACAUGCAGACAAAGGAGUCCAAAAAGCUACCGCUAAACUUUGUUCAAACAAGUCAAGCUCCAUUUUUAUUUAAUCUUCAGGUAUCCUAAAAUGUAAAUAAACUAUAAUAUUUCAUACGAAAAGUAGUAUGUUCAAUAGAAAAGGAAAAUUAGUAAGCGCGCGUCCUCUUCCUCGCACGCCAACAGACCGGUAUAUUGUACCGGGAGGCUAUGUACAAAAACUCUAAUUCUUGCUAGUUUGAAGAAACAAGCCUGAAACCUUUCAAAGACUUGACAUCUAGUGGAAGCCAUAGGAAUGGCAAUCUGGGAGCUAGAAUUGCAUAGGACCCAUAGCUUCCCAUAAUAAGAGCCUGCGAGCUAAGAAGUUACUUCACUAGGGUAGGGAGCAGCGUUCAGAAUUUUGGAUGAAAAGCGUGCCCAAAUUAAACUGCCUGCUACUCAGGCCCAUAAGCUAGGAUAUGCAUAUAAUUAGUAGAUUUGAAUAGAAAACUCUAGUUUCCAAAACUGUUAAAAUAAAUAAUGUCUGUGAGUAUAACAGAACUGAUAUGGCAGAAAAAAAACAGAGGAAAAUCCAACCAGGAAGUACUAUUAUUUUGAAACGCUGUUUUUCCAUUGAAAGCCUAUCCACCAUACAAAGUCUUAGGGCCCAGUUCACGAGCUCUGUGUCUUCCUCUACAUGUGGCCAGUCUUUAGGCAUUGUUUCGGGCUUUUACUCUGAAAAAUUAGGGAGAUACAGCACUUUCAAAUAAGUGGCCAGUGGAAAUUUCCAGCCAUGAGUCGUGCGCCUGAUUGGGAACGCGCCCUUGUUUCUCUUUUUCUAUUGGACGAAGCUUUUGUCCGGUUGAAAUAUUAUUGAUUAUUUAUAAAAACAACAACCGGAGGAUUGAUUUUAAACAUCGUUUGGCAUGUUGACUAACUUUUAUUUUACUUUAAAAAAAAUUUGUCUGGACUUAGUGCACACGCCUUGAACAUUCUGAUUACUUGACAAAACGCGAACACAAGAGGUUUUUGGUCAUAAAGAGGGACAUUAUCGAACAAAACAAACAUUUGUCUAACAUGGAGACCUGGGAGUGCCACCAGGUGAAGAUCAAAGGUAAGUGAUUAAUUUUAAUGCUAUUUCUGACUUGUGACACCUCUCCUUGGUAGAAAAAUGGCUGUAUGUUUCUGUGGCUAGGCGCAGACCUAACAUAAAUCGCAAAGUGUGCUUUCACCGUAAAGCCUUUUUGAAAUCUGACACAGCGUUUGCAUUAAGGAGAAGUUUUUUAUUUGUAUGUUUAACACUUGUAUCGUUUAUCAAUGUUUAUGAUGAGUAUUUCUGUAUUUGAUGUGGCGCUCUGCACUUUCACCUGAUGUUUGAGACAAUGCAUUUCUGAACAUAACGCGCCAAUGUAAACUAAGAUUUUUGGAUAUAAAUAUGAACUUUACCGAACAAAACAUACAUGUAUUGUGUAACAUGAAGUCCUAUGAGUGCCAUCUGAUGAAGAUCAAAGGUUAGUGAUUCAUUUUCUCUAUUUCUGCUCUUUGUGACUCCUCUCUUUGGCUGGAAAAAUGGCUGUAUGGUUCUGUGACUAGGUGCUGACCUAACAUAAAUCGCAAAGUGUGCUUUCGCAGUAAAGCCUUUUUGAAAUCGGACACCGUGGUUGGAUUUACAAUUGUAUCUUUAAAAUGGUGCAUAAUACUUAUAUGUUUAAGGAAUUUUAAUUAUGGGAUUUCUGUUAUUUUGAAUUUGGCGCCCUGCAAUUUCAUUGGCUGUUACCUCUCUGGUACCAGAGAGGUAACGUGGCACCAUCAUAGGGUGCCACCAUUCAAUUUGUUACAUUUCUGCCCUGCUAGAGCUGCCCCGGUCAACUGUAAGUGCUGUUAUUGUGAAGUGGAAACGUCUAGGAGCAACAACAGUUCCGCAGCGGAAUGUGAUCCGAGUGCUGAAGCGCGUAAAAAUAGUCUGUCCUCGGUUGCGAUACUCACUACCAAGUUUCAAACUGCCUCUGGAAGCAACGCCAGCACAAGAACUGUUCGUUAGGAGCUUCAUGAAAUGGAUUUCCAUGGGCGAGCAGUCGCACACAAGACUAAGAUCACCAUGUGCAAUGCCAAAUGUCGGCUGGAGUGGUGUAAAGCUCACCGCCAUUGGACUCUGGAGCAGUGAAAACACAUUCUCUGGAGUGAUGAAUCACCCUUCACCAUCUGUCAGUCUGACAGACUGAUCUGGGUUUGGCGGAUGCCAGGAGAACGCUACUUGCUCCAAUGCAAACUGUAAAGUUUGGUGGAGGAGGAAUAACGGUCUGGGACUGUUUUUCAUGGUUCAGUGAAGGGAAAUCUCAACGUUACAGCAUACAAUGACAUUUUAGAUGAUUCUGUGCUUCCAACUGUGGUAACAGUUUGGAGAAGACCCUUUCCUGUUUCAGCAUGACAAUGCCUCCAUGUACAAAACGAGGUCCAUCCACAAAUUGUGUGUCAAGAUCGGUGUGGAAGAACUUAAAAUGGCCUGCACAGAGCCUUGACCUCAACCCCAUCAAACACCUUUGGGAUGAAUUGGAAUACCGACUGCGUGCCAGGCCUAAUUGCCCAACAUCAGUGCCCAACCUCACUAAUGCUUGUGGCUGAAUGGAAGCAAGUCCCUGCAGCAAUGUUCUUAGAUCUAGAGGAAAGCCUUACCAGAAAAACAGAGAAUAAGGGGAACCAACUCCAUAUUAAUGCCUAUGAUUUUGGAAUGAGAUGUUCAACAAGGUGGUGUCCACAUGUAGCGCAAUUCAAAUCAAUAUUCUCAAAAACAGUCCUGCAGCAUUAGGUAGCCUAGUGGUUAGAGCAUUGGGCCAGUAACCGAAAGGUUGCUCGAACGAAUCCCCGAGCUGACAUGGUAAAAAUCUGUCGUUCUUCCCCUGAACAAGGCCGUUAACCCACUGUUCCUAGGACGUCAUUGUAAAUAAGAAUUUGUUCUUAACCGACUUGCCUAGUUAAAUAAACAAUUAUUUGUUUUGCGUAAUGAGGGUGGGGGAACUGUACAGUGUGUACACCAACUUUAAUCCAAACUCCUUCCCUCUAUUGAUACUAACUCCUCAUUCCCGAUAAUUUCCCUCCAGGGACCAGAAAUUGGCCCAUGAACUCUAAUACACCAGCUUCCCCCUUCGGGCCUGUCAUGCCAAAUAAUGUCCCCUGGCCAAAUAGUGUCCCCCUCUACGCCACAAUGGGAUUCGAUGAGUUCAAACUUCUGUUGCUAGAAAUUGCAACAUUCUGACUGGAUUACGUAAUGAACCAAAGCGUCCGUUGCUAUGCUGGUUGCUUGGUUACUUCGUAGCGGUCACGAAGGAAGGAGGUUCUACUUCUAUUUCACCUCAGAAGCGCUCGAUCAGUCCUAGCAAAAUUAUUACAUGAGCUGUUUUUAAAUAGAUUUUAUAUUGACAUUGCUAGUUACUCAUUUACCUCAGCUAAACAGCUGUCUGGCUAAGUUAGCUUGCUAGUUGUUAUUGUAGCUGCUUUCUGUUCGUAUGUAUAGUAACUUGCACUUUAAUGUCAUUUCUUUCAUCUUUCCAACUAACGUUAGGCGAAGUACUAUGAAGGCACCACUGAUCUCGAGAAGAGGCGCAAAAUUCGUAGGGGGCAGAGAAUUUCACAAUUCAGGUUAACGUUAAGCAGUUCAUUUAUAUUACAGUUACUGUUAAGAUAUCAUUUCAGUUAAGUACAACCAUUUUUCAUCUAGCUAACAUUAGUUGGUCAUCUACAUGUUGCUACCGAACUUUAUAGGUCUGUCACAUUGAGGUAACGCAAUUAAUUAAAUCAAAUGGACAGGUGUAAACAAUUAUGGUAACUCCAACUGCCCUUAAUAGGUGUCACUAGGUGAAAGAGACCCAUAAAGAAAGAGCAAGAAAGAGAGGUGAGGAGUGAGCACGAGAGAAACAAAGCAGUGCAAAUUUACUUAAUUAGUAUUUCAACAACUCUCGUCUUCAAACUUGGUAGGCAAUCACAUGUACCUAUGGGGGAAGGAUGGCCAGCCACACAGGAGGGUGAUUUUCACUAAGGACAAGGAGGCUGUGCUGACAGAUGCAUGCUGGACAUUUAAUAUGAAAUAUAUUUGUUAUCAAUCAAGAUGAGACUGAACAUCAACAAGGCACAGGAUAAGCAGAGCGAAAGACUUGGUUUGGAAGAAGGACGAAAGGAAGGAGAGACCUGGGAAAACUCACUGCUCUUUAGCUCCAAGCUGGGGUCAUCAUCCGUUAAAGGUUACCUCGGUGGAAGCCAAAAACCUUCUCCAGUUGGAGCAGUUGGACGGUCGACCACAAAGCCCUGAUGCCCUACAUUUCGGUGAAGCCCGUGAGACAAAGUACGUUAAGCUUUGGUUGACAUUUAAGCAAGAAUUGGUGGUUAUGCUGAGCUCAUAAAAAUGUACCUCUUAAAUUUCUCUCCAAUUGACUUUAGGACAGUCAACUGUCCGAGCCACCCAGGAAGUAUCCCAUCCACCAGAGCCAGGGAGUUCGGAUGAGUCUGAUUUUCUGUGCUCUGAGUCGGAAGGGGACCAGCUUGAGGUAGUCUAUACCUCAAGUACAUAUCUCCCCUUCAUAACACUGCACUCACUAAUCCAUCAAAUGUCCUUACAGGUGGCUUGCGUCAGACUGGAGGAACAGGGGCAGGUAAGUCCAGUCAUUGGAUUAGAAGACAUUAGUGAGUUUCUCAUCACUAGUGUCCAAAAGGGACAGGUAAGGCCAGCUGCUCUGUGGCCGGAUGCAGGACCUUCGGGGGGGGUCAUUCUUCCGUCACACCCCUGGUUAGACAAUUUUACAAUUGAUCAUGCUCAAGCUCUUUUGCAGGUGCAGCAUCCAGAAUUAGGAGGCCUCCUCACAGUGAGCAGCAUCGCCAUGCUGUCAGCAGUACCAACACUGGCUCAGGGGUUUGUCCAGGUAGUCAAUCUCAAGGCUAACCACUGGGUCACAGUAAGUAACCGUCGCUGCCAGGUAGGUAUGUGGUGGUGUAUGACACCACCCCAGAGUUUCUCACAACUCACCUCUCCCUUAUCUUUUCCAGGGACCUCUGUGACUGGAGUGGCUGACAGUCCGGCAGUAGAAAGUGGGCACAGAUUGUGGGUUGUUUGCCAUUGCAAACACUUACUCUGCAGAGAUGAGGAACGCUCCAUGGCACGAUACCAUCAGAAAUCCAUGAGAAAACAUUCUCUUGUUUUCAGGCUGGGCACCUGGUACCAGCUCCCAGUCCCGAUUCCAUUUCCCGUCCAGGAAAUGCGGUUUUCAUGUGUGGUUGUCAGUGAGUUUGUCUGUUCAUCGUCCGUCAUCUGUUUUGUCUGAUAUUUCCCCCACACUUGUUUUCACUGCUUGGCCAGCGCUCCACCUCAAGACGGUAGGUAUUUUACUACAUUGCAUCUUGUUGUACAUUGUAUGUUAUUGUAAAUAACCUUAAUAGCAUGUAUUGUAUAAAGAUGUGUUUUAUUGCAGACAUUGGCUGUGAAGUUGGUAAGUAUAUAGCAUAUGUAUUUGUCUUGUAUUCUAAGUAAUGUUUACAAGCAUGUAAAUAUUUGUAUAUUUUUCCAUUUGUUUGCUGAUAAAUAUUUGAAACUUGCUCAAAUUGGCUGUAAAUGUACACAUUUGCAUAUGAAAAUGUAUUCAUUGCAAGAAAUUCUCAAUUGACUGUUCAAUUGCCCAAUUACUUACUGGUCCUUAACCCCUUCUCCCUAACCAUUCAUCUUUUGUGUCCAAUUCCAAAUCAACAUUAGGCCAGGGUUGGUAUGGAAUUGGACAUUGGUUUCUAGUUAGUGUUUGCAUAUCUGGAGGUUCUAGAUUUGUGUAUGUAUUAUGGCAUAAGUCUCCCAGAGUCCAUUACACAGCAGGGCUGAGUUAUCACCAUAUUGCUUCAUCUAUCCAAGCCCCAUCAGGUCAAUCACUACAAAGAGUGGGGGUUAAAGGCAUCAAUUAUAAACAAAAUCCUUCUCUGCCUGUACCUUGACGUGGUCAGAGGGCUUCCAACUAAACCAGGCCCACGUUAUUGAACCCAUGACUGAGAUUGGCUGCCUGUCGAGGGCGAGUGACAGGAAGAACUAGCCGCAGCACCUGAUCAAGCGCUCUCGAUUCUGCCCCAUUUCUCAUCCUUUAACUCUCUCUCCCUCCAGACGAAAUUCUACAUCUGGUGACUCCUGAUUGUUGGGCAAUCUUCCCAUCCCCAUCAUCUCAAGCUACUGUUAUUGUCAUGUUAUCUGCUAAUGAAGUUUGAUAGCCGUAUCAUACAGGGCACAUAUUGUGAAAUACACUGAUGAACUAAAAAACCACUAGCACUGCAAACACUCAGAACAAAGAGAGCAGGAGGGCUCCCUUCCAAGACUGCAUGUUGAGAACAAGUGACAGGCAGAACCUCCCAACCACACAGCACCCACCUCUUUAUUCCACACACCAGAAUGAAGUAUUUCAGUCUGAUUGUCAUGUGUACAAUUUUUUUUAUCUAAAAAUAAAUUAGACACCAAAAAACGA